UGUGAGAUCGAGCUCCUUCAGACCCUACGGCUGCGUUCACAUGUGACUGGACAGGAUCAGCUGUCUGAGAACCGAACGCUGUCUUAGAAGAGCUCCUGAACCUGCUGAAUAAACUCAGUGUCCUCCGGCUGUAACCUGUGCAAAAUCAGGAGGAAAACUACUCCACAUCAGCAUCACCGAAGAUCCACUUACAGAAAUCCCUUUCUGUGUCAGUGUUGGAUGAUGGAGAGCAGUGUGAAUGUGACGUGUGCAGAGAUUCAAAUCACAGACGGGUUUGAGUUCAGAGUCACUGCUGACAGAUUCACUCACUUGCAUCAGUCUGACUGUGAAUCGCUCUGGUACUCACAGGUGAGAGUGUGUUUCUGUCCUCACACCACGCCAUUAUACAUUAUACACACACACAAACAGUGUUUCUGUCCUCAAACCACGCCAUUAUUCACAAUCAAACUCAUAAUAAUGCUUUAUUUGAUCAGGAUGAUAUUCUGAUAGCAGACCCAUCAGAUCCUCAGAAACUGAUUGAUCCUGUUAUUUCUGUCUCAUCUGAUCGUCUCGUCACGUCACACUGUGUGAAUGAACUCCGUCACGAGAUCCUCUGCGAUGCUUCAGGAUUCAGACUGGACACCAUAUUCAGAGCGAGGAAUGAAACUGCAGUGACUCCAAACUCAGUGACUCCAGAUCUCCAACAUUCAGAUCAGUGGUGGUGGAUUUAUGUUCUUCUCAUUGUCAUUGUUCUUCUGGUGUUGAUCUGUUUCUUGCGUAAAAGGAUCUUCAGAUGUUUUCAGAGAAAAGAGCGGUUCAUCAGUCAGCGUGAAGCUCCAGACAACAGGGAUCUGGUGACGCUCAGAUCUGAUCAUCCAGGAAUUGGUUCAGCGAAUCAGUGCAGUGUUCAGUGUUCAGAUGCUGAUAAAGCAUCUGAUGUUUUGAAUGAUUAUUCACCAUUCUGGUUCUUUUCAAAAAAGAAUAAGAACCGGUUUUCGGUUCCCACGCCAAGUCAUGAAGAUCAGAUUUAUUAAUGAGAAUAUUAUUUAUCUUCAGAACUGUUUCAUAAUAAUAAUAAUAAAAGCUAUUUUGUUUCAUUUUGUUGUUUUAUUUCUUUUCUCCACUGCAAACUGAGACUUAAAAACUGCAUUAUGUCAUUUUUGUGUAUCUUUACAUGCCAUUUC
ensembl:lncRNA